AUAAUCUAUAUUUUAAUAAUUUAUGUUAACAAACGUAUAAAUAUAUUCUAUAUCUAUCCUUAUUUUGAUCAAUAACAAAGAUAUGGAAAUUAUUAUUCAGCGCGUCUUUCCGUUUUCCAUGCGUCUUUCCGUUUUCCAUUUUUCCAUCAGUAAUCAAUUCACGAUCAGUAAUUAGGAUUCACGCGUCUUUCCAUUUUCCAUCAUUCCAUAUUUUCAAACCCUUCUUGCCGCCAUUCACCAUACCCACGAUCUUUCAGCUUAUCAAGGUUCUCAAACCAUCACCGCCGCCGUUCGCUGCUCACGGUCGGUCGACGCUCGCUGCUCACCGUCGGUCGACGCUCGCUGCUGCUGAACUUUGAGAGCAAUGACUUUGGCUUUUCCAGAAUUUAUGAAACUUUGUGAGAGAGAACUAGAGCAUGUCAUCAAUAGAAUGGGUAAAUUAUAGGACAAAGAGAAUACCAAAGAGAUCACUUUCACUUAAGCAUGUCAUCAAUAGAAUGGUAGUGACGCUUUGCUAGAUUGGAGAGAAUCUACAAAAUCAAUGCUUCUCUAAUAUAGUAGUUUUUGGUGUGUAUGUUUGGACUUUUUAAUGUUCAUCUAGUUACACAAGACAUUUUAAUUGUUUGGAUUGUUGUUUAAAUUAUGUUAUUUUGGCAUGCAUGUACAUUUGUUAGAAUGAUUUUUAUUCGUAUUGAUGC